rnacentral:rRNA from 1 species
GACGAACGCUGGCGGCGUGCCUAAUACAUGCAAGUUGAGCGAUGAAGAUUGGUGCUUGCACCAAUUUGAAGAGCAGCGAACGGGUGAGUAACGCGUGGGGAAUCUGCCUUUGAGCGGGGGACAACAUUUGGAAACGAAUGCUAAUACCGCAUAACAACUUUAAACAUAAGUUUUAAGUUUGAAAGAUGCAAUUGCAUCACUCAAGGAUGAUCCCGCGUUGUAUUAGCUAGUUGGUGAGGUAAAGGCUCACCAAGGCGAUGAUACAUAGCCGACCUGAGAGGGUGAUCGGCCACAUUGGGACUGAGACACGGCCCAAACUCCUACGGGAGGCAGCAGUAGGGAAUCUUCGGCAAUGGACGAAAGUCUGACCGAGCAACGCCGCGUGAGUGAAGAAGGUUUUCGGAUCGUAAAACUCUGUUGGUAGAGAAGAACGUUGGUGAGAGUGGAAAGCUCAUCAAGUGACGGUAACUACCCAGAAAGGGACGGCUAACUACGUG